AUAGGCUAAUGGUUUUCUUAUGGUUUAUUAAAAGAAGAAUAUCCAAUUAUCCAAAUGAUUUCUAAAAAAAGUGAAAGUAACAAUUUACGUUGUUGUGUAGUUGAAUUCUAAUGGAAUAUGUACUUUACCUUUCCCUUUAUACCGAAUCUACAAUUAAACUCUACCAUCCUAUUCAACCGGCUGUCCUCAACCGAGUCCUCUUCUGCACACUGAAAUACCAUCGGCAUUUUAGUUAAAAGAUUCAACUUUAUAUGCACAUUACGUGUUCAAAGCCUUUGAUGUCAACUGCAACGGCGCAAUUAGUUUUAGGGACUUACUAGUAACAUUAUCAACACUGCUCCGCGGAUCUGUGUAUGAAC